GACGAACGCUGGCGGCGUGCCUAAUACAUGCAAGUCGAACGCUUCCUACCGGUGCUUGCACCGGGAAAGAAGAGUGGCGGACGGGUGAGUAACACGUGGGUAACCUACCUACAAGCGGGGGAUAACAUUCGGAAACGGAUGCUAAUACCGCAUAGAUCUUUUUGUCUCCUGACAGAAAGAAGAAAGACGGUUUCGGCUGUCACUUGUAGAUGGACCCGCGGCGCAUUAGUUAGUUGGUGAGGUAAUGGCUCACCAAGACGAUGAUGCGUAGCCGACCGGAGAGGGUGAUCGGCCACACUGGGACUGAGACACGGCCCAGACUCCUACGGGAGGCAGCAGUAGGGAAUCUUCCGCAAUGGACGAAAGUCUGACGGAGCAACGCCGCGUGAGUGAAGAAGGUUUUCGGAUCGUAAAACUCUGUUGUUAGAGAAGAACAAGGAUGAGAGUAACUGCUCGUCCCUUGACGGUAUCUAACCAGAAAGCCAUGGCUAACUACGUGCCAGCAGCCGCGGUAA
rnacentral:rRNA from 1 species